GCUUAUUUUUAACAACUUCUUAAAAUAACAUUAAUUAAAAUAAUAAUUUAUCAACAUAUUAAAAAUAGUAUUUUUUAUUGGUCAUGAACUCACACUGUUUAGGUAAAAUUAAAUUACAUAGGUAAUUGUAUUUCAUAAUUUAGAUAUUUUUUUAAUAAACUGCUAAAACAAAAAUGUGUUCACUUAUUUUUAGUGGAUAAUUUUAGGGUUUUAAGUGCAUAGAUAAUAGCAUAUUUAUUGCUUUUUUAGAAAUACAUGUCCUCUGCCCUAUUUAUGAAUAUGAAUAAUUUUAGUAUUAUGAUGUAAUCUAGUAAAUUUUAUAGUUAGAAUUAAUUAUAAGUUAUUGCUGACCUUUUUCUUUUC